rnacentral:tRNA from 1 species
GGAGAGAUGUCCGAGUUGGCUAAGGGGCACGCCUGGAAAGCGUGUAAGGCUGUAACGGCCCCGCGGGUUCGAGUCCCGCUCUCUCCGCCA